UACUAGAGUAGCACUCGCAUAUCAAUAAGCGGAGGAAAAGAAACUAACAAGGAUUCCCCUAGUAACGGCGAGUGAAGCGGGAAGAGCUCAAAUUUGAAAUCUUAAAGGGUUUCCCUUUACGAAUUGUAGUUUAAAGAAGUGUUUUCUGUUGAGGUUUUGGUAAAAGUUCUUUGGAAUAGGACAUCAUAGAGGGUGAGAAUCCCGUAUUUGACCUUUACUUUCAACUUUGUGAUACACUUUCAAAGAGUCGGAUUGUUUGGGAAUGCAGUCCAAAAUGGGUGGUAAAUUUCAUCUAAAGCUAAAUAUUGGCGAGAGACCGAUAGCGGAACAAGUACCGUGAGGGAAAGAUGAAAAGAACUUUGAAAAGAGAGUUAAACAGUACGUGAAAUUGUCAAAAGGGAAGCGUUUGACACCAGUGUUGUUUUUCUGAAAAUCAAUUAAAGAACUGUUUAUGCUAAGUUGUUUAGACUUUAUCAGCUAAUCUGUUUAGUUUUGAGCUUUUCUUUAAUGCACUUUUCAGUUAACAAGUCAACAUCAAUUUCUUUUGCUGUAAAAAAGCUUGAGGAAGGUGGCUUGAGAUUCGUCUUAAGUGUUUAUAGCCUCUUGCCUAUGCAGUCGGAGAGAUUGAGGUCUGCAGCGUAGAUCCUUCGGGGCUAAAUGCAUUUGUGCUAAGUUAUAGCAUUUUAUAGACAACUUGUUGACUAUGAUUUGUCUUGUAGCUUACUCGCUUAUGUUAUUUUACCUACGCUUAGGAUGUUGAGCGCAUGUCUCUCUCU
rnacentral:rRNA from 1 species